GUAUUAUCGUGAGUUCCCUUCAACCACUUCACAUGGCACUAUUUUAGGACCUAUGUGAAGUGUUUGGGGGAACUCUCGACAUCAC
rnacentral:pre_miRNA from 1 species